GAGGCUAUAGCUCAGUGGUAGAGUGUAUCCCUAGCAUGCAGGAUAUCCUGGGUUCAAUCCCCAGUACCUCCA
rfam:Camelus ferus unplaced genomic scaffold scaffold212, whole genome shotgun sequence.